rnacentral:lncRNA from 1 species
UGGAAGCGGCACCCUGCUGAGAUAGGCGAUCGAACUGAGCUAGGGGACGAUUAUGUUGACACUUUGAACCCACCUGAGGACACUCUCUGAUUCUAUGACCUGGCUUACCACAAUCGAAACACACGUCGCUGCCAGCCCUGCAGACACUCUGAUGAUUUCUGCCAUAUUUUUGGCAGAGAGGAUUUGUUCAAGAGCUACUAACACUACCCUGAGAUUUAGAGCCUGACGCCUUAUCCUUAUUACCAUUUCUAAAUUUAGGCACCGGAGCACUGGCUGAGGAUGAAGCUAGGACUGAAGAUUUUGGGCAGAACUAAGGACAAUUAUCACCCUCUAACUUUGGCUGAGUAAAGUUAAAGCUACCUAUUCUAGCCCUCUUGUUCUCCCUCUCUUUCUCCUUAGUCUUCUGUUCCUCAAUCUGUUGAGCAUGGACCAUCAACCUAGCCAAGUCCAUCUCCUUAAUCAGCAUUGCAGUCCUACACUUCUUGACCAUACUAUCAGACAUACCAGACAAGAACUUGCUCAUCUUAGACCGAACUUGCUCAUCUUAGACCUGCUAUCAGCUGCCAUAUGAGGAGCAUACCUGGUCAACUGAGUAAACUUGAGAGAAUACUUCUUCAUUGUCAUGCUGCCUUGCUUCAAGUUAAUGAAACCUAAAACCUUAUCUUCCCUCAACUCCAAUGGGAAGAACCUAUCUAGAAAGGCAGUGGAGAACUCCUCCCAUUCUAUAGGCCCUGCAUUUGCGCCCCUAUCUACCUUUCACUGCUUAAACCAUGUAUAAGCCACAUCCUGCAACUGAUAGGCAGCUAACUCAGCACUAUUACUAGCGGUUACCCCCAUAAUGUCUGUUACCUUCUACACCAUGUCAAGGGAUUCAUAUGGGCCCUCUUUAGACUUAGACCCAUAAAAUAAAGAAGGGUUUAUUUUGGUGAAGUCCCAAAUUCUAGCUGUAGCAGUAUUCGCCACUAGGUUGUCUUGAACAAUAAUUGAGCGUUCAUUUAAGGCUGCUACAGAAUGAGCUAGAGCGAUGAAAGUUGCUUUGAAUUCUUCGUGAGAAACGUGCUCAUUAAGGAUAUCUUCCUAAACUUGCGGAGGCGAUGAUUGGUUCCCAGUUCUUCUUCCGUUA